rnacentral:lncRNA from 10 species
UGGUCAGUGGGCUCCUUUGCUGUUUGUUGAUUGAAAAUUUCCCUUCCAGGGCCUUCAUGGAAACUGCUCUGGUGUCACAGAAAUAUAUCCAAGGAUGGAGUGUGUACGUGUACAAGCUCGUCUGAAAAGAGUUGGCUUGUAAAUGGGAGAAGCUGUCCAAGAAGUAUUCUCACAAUGAAAUAAUCAUUUUAUUUUGUCCAUACCGACAAACAACCAGUCAAUUCAGCUGGAGGAAAAAACAAACAAACAAACAAACAUUUUAUUUUCCAAAUUUGUAAUGAGUUCGCUUAAUUAUUUUUGGUUUAUUGUGUUAUCUACAUAGUUGAAUCUUAAAUCUGAAUUUUC